GACGAACGCGGGCGGCGGGCUGAACACAUGCAAGUCGAACGGAAAGGCCCUGCUUUUGUGGGGUGCUCGAGUGGCGAACGGGUGAGUAACACGUGAGUAACCUGCCCUUGACUUUGGGAUAACUUCAGGAAACUGGGGCUAAUACCGGAUAGGAGCUCCUGCUGCAUGGUGGGGGUUGGAAAGUUUCGGCGGUUGGGGAUGGACUCGCGGCUUAUCAGCUUGUUGGUGGGGUAGUGGCUUACCAAGGCUUUGACGGGUAGCCGGCCUGAGAGGGUGACCGGCCACAUUGGGACUGAGAUACGGCCCAGACUCCUACGGGAGGCAGCAGUGGGGAAUAUUGCACAAUGGGCGGAAGCCUGAUGCAGCAACGCCGCGUGCGGGAUGACGGCCUUCGGGUUGUAAACCGCUUUCGCCUGUGACGAAGCGUGAGUGACGGUAAUGGGUAAAGAAGCACCGGCUAACUACGUG
rnacentral:rRNA from 1 species